UGAUUUAUAUUUGGUAUAUUUAGAUACUCUGUUACAUUACCAUCAACUUUCACUUCCCUAGCCUAACCUGCUGGGAUUGUGCUAAUUACUUACAGAUGUGUUGAGCAUGUUUAGGAACGACUUAUCUGUGAUGUUGUAAACCUAAGAACGGCUUAUCAAUUUAUAUCCGGUUUGUGUACAGCAGUUCUAUUUCCCACCCUAGUAUCUUUUUAAUUCAUAUAAUGAAUACACCUUGUUUAUACAUUGAUGGAAUUUUAUUUUUAUGUUCUAGCUGUAAACAAAACAGCAUUUUUCUUCAAAAUUACAAAUUGUACUGAGUAGAACUUCCAGAAAUCAUAAAAGAGUUUAGCUAACUAGGGGGUUGUAAAUAACAGCAUCUGCAUCCAAGUAUUUGCGCCAAUUUUAAACCACCAGGCAGGUCAUGCCAAGAACAAUGAGAUUAGAGAAAGCCACAACAAAGCACAGAUGGUGUAGAAGAGAAAAUGAUUUACAUCUAAAUCCUUAUCACAGUUGGAAAAUUGAUUGAAUGAUGAAAUGGUCAUAAGAGGAGGAGAAAAGAUCUUGCAAUAUUAAGAGUUGACCAGCAGCAUAGCUUUCCAUAAAUGCAAUAAUGCCAGUGAACUGUAGCCAUUGGAAGAUUGCAUCAGGAAGAAGAUGACCGUUUGCAAUGCCAGUUAUAAAGCAUUCAAACUUCUUUUUGUGAAUAUUUCAAUCUAUGAAAAUGUGAUUGGGAAAUGUGAUGUGAAACGUGAAUGACAGAACUGCUUGUGAUUUGCAUCUUUUAUGCCAAUUUAGGAGUAAAAAGAAUGGCAGGAUUACUCGGCAUGAUUCUCAAAACUGUGAUUCACUGUGAUUAUUGGAAUGUUUCAACUGUUUACUAUAAAACUCAGCCUUGGAUGUUAAAAUGCUGUGAAACGGUCAAUAUAUUCUAACAUGUAACUGUGCUUUGAAAAAGUAAAUGUAAGAUUAUGAUUUUUUAAAUUUUAAUGACAAUCCUUUACUAAUGAAUCUCAUUCACAUUUUAUCACACUGAAAAAUAUUAAGAAAAUAAAAGUGAUGUAUGCUUAGCUUAA